rnacentral:rRNA from 1 species
UACAGAGGUCUCAAGCGUUGUUCGGAUUCAUUGGGCGUAAAGGGCGCGUAGGCUGCGGGGCAAGUCGGGUGUGAAAUCUCAGAGCUCAGUCUCUGAAACUGCACUCGAUACUGCUUUGCUCGAGGACUGGAGAGGAGAUUGGAAUUCACGGUGUAGCAGUGAAAUGCGUAGAUAUCGUGAGGAAGACCAGUGGCGAAGGCGGAUCUCUGGACAGUUCCUGACGCUGAGGCGCGAAGGCCAGGGGAGCAAACGGG